AUCCGGUUAAAAUUCCGGA
rnacentral:snRNA from 1 species